AAUCAACGCUGGCGGCGUGCCUCAGACAUGCAAGUCGAACGAUUAAGACUUCCUUCGGGAAGUGUAUAAAGUGGCGCACGGGUGAGUAACACGUAGGUAAUCUACCUUCGAGUGGGGAAUAACAUCGGGAAACCGAUGCUAAUACCGCAUAAUGCAGCGGCACCGCAAGGUGACAGUUGUUAAAGGAGCAAUCCGCUUGAAGAGGAGCCUGCGGCAGAUUAGCUAGUUGGUAAGGUAAUGGCUUACCAAGGCUACGAUCUGUAUCCGGUCUAAGAGGACGGUCGGACACACUGACACUGAAUAACGGGUCAGACUCCUACGGGAGGCAGCAGUCGGGAAUUUUGGGCAAUGGGCGGAAGCCUGAUCCAGCAACGCCGCGUGAGGGAUGACGGCCUUCGGGUUGUAAACCUCUUUCAGUACCGACGAAGCGAAAGUGACGGUAGGUACAGAAGAAGCACCGGCCAACUACGUGCCAGCAGCCGCGGUAAUAC
rnacentral:rRNA from 1 species